UACGUAGGGGGCAAGCGUUAUCCGGAAUUAUUGGGCGUAAAGCGUGCGCAGGCGGCACUUCAAGUCUGUCGUCAAAGACCGGGGCUUAACCCUGGAAAGGCGAUGGAAACUGAAAGGCUAGAGAGAGGUAGGGGUAGAGGGAAUUCCCAGUGUAGCGGUGAAAUGCGUAGAGAUUGGGAAGAACAUCGGUGGCGAAAGCGCUCUACUGGACCUCAUCUGACACUCAGGCACGAAAGCUAGGGGAGCGAAUGGG
rnacentral:rRNA from 1 species